AGAUCUUUUAGGUUAUCAGCAGAAAACAAGCAGCAGUGUUCCAGUUGAAUGGCGACCCCGAGACUUUCCUGCCCCCUCGAUCUCCCAUGCACGUCGCCCGACCCCUGCCUGUUUCUGAAUGCUGAAUUCAGCUAAAGGUAGUGGGAAUGCUCACAGCCAUUCAUCAAGAACCAGAGCAGACUCCAGAUUCCCUGCACUCUGAAUCUACAGGAGUGAUCGUUCUGGAGGGAGGUGUUGUGUCUGCUGUUCUGCCAAA